rnacentral:rRNA from 1 species
AUUAAAGUUGUUGCAGUUAAAAAGCUCGUAGUUGGAUUUUGGGGUUUAGUGGGUCCGGUCUGCCGGGAAGGUGUGUACUGGCUCACUUGCCUCUAUUCUCAGGCACUGGUCACUGUUCUUAACUGAGUGGGGACUAGGCUCUGGGACGUUUACUUUGAAAAAAUUAGAGUGUUUAAAGCAGGCAGCUUUGGCCUUGAAUACAUUAGCAUGGGAUAAUAGAAUAGGGCUCAGGCUCUAUUUUGUUGGUUUAAAGGGCCUUUGCAAUGAUUAAUAGAGAUAGUUGGGGGUAUUCAUAUUUAAUUGUCAGAGGUGAAAUUCUUGGAUUUAUGAAAGAUGAACUUCUGCGAAAGCAUUUAUCAAGGAUGUUUUCAUUGAUCAAGAACGAAAGUUAGGGGAUCGAAGACGAUCAGAUACCGUCGUAGUCUUAACCAUAAACUAUGCCGACCAGAGAUUGAGAGACGUUACUUGGAUGACUCCCCCAGCACCUUGAGAGAAAUCAUAAGUCUUUGGGUUCCGGGGGGAGUAUGGUCGCAAGGCUGAAACUUAAAGGAAUUGACGGAAGGGCACACCAGGAGUGGAGCCUGCGGCUUAAUUUGACCCAACACGGGGAAACUUACCAGGUCCAGACGCAGUAAGGAUUGACAGAUUGAGAGCUCUUUCUUGAUUCUGUGGGUGGUGGUGCAUGGCCGUUCUUAGUUGGUGGAGUGAUUUGUCUGGUUAAUUCCGUUAACGAACGAGACCUCAACCUAUUAAAUAGUUGCUUAAACCGUCUAACAGGUGAAGCUCGUGGGUGGUGCGGUGGCCUUGGUCGCUGUGCCCUCGCGGGUGGAUCCUUGAUGAGUUUGCGGUGGCUUCUUAGAGGGACUACUAGGGUCUACCUAGUGGAAGUGAGGCAAUAACAGGUCUGUGAUGCCCUUAGAUGUCUUGGGCCGCACGCGCGCUACACUGAUGGGUACAUCGAGUUUUUAACAGGAUUGAUGAGUCUGGUUAAUCUUAAAGUACCUAUCGUGCUGGGGAUAGAUCAUUGCAAUUAUUGAUCUUCAACGAGGGAUUCCUAGUAAACGCAAGUCAUCAACUUGCGCUGAUUACGUCCCUGCCCUUUGUACACACCGCCCGUCGCUCCUACCGAUUGAAUGGUCCGGUGAAAACUCCGGAUGGUGAUGGUUAGCUUUUGGGGCAACUCGAUUGCGCCGUUGUCAGAAGUUGUUUAAACCUUAUCAUUUAGAGGAAGGAGAAGUCGUA